UGGGGGAUAUUGCACAAUGGGCGAAAGCCUGAUGCAGCGACGCCGCGUGGGGGAUGAAGGCUUUCGGGUUGUAAACCUCUUUCGCUAUCGAACAAGGCCCGCUUAGGGUGGGUUGAGGGUAGGUGGAGAAGAAGCGCCGGCUAACUACGUGCCAGCAGCCGCGGUACUACGUAGGGCGCGAGCGUUGUCCGGAAUUAUUGGGCGUAAAGGGCUUGUAGGCGGCUUGUUGCGCCUGCUGUGAAAACGCGGGGCUUAACUUCGCGCGUGCAGUGGGUACGGGCAGGCUUGAGUGUGGUAGGGGUGACUGGAAUUCCAGGUGUAGCGGAUGAAUGCGCAGAUAUCUGGAGGAACACCGAUGGCGAAGGCAGGUCACUGGGCCAUUACUGACGCUGAGGAGCGAAAGCAUGGGUAGCGAACAGG
rnacentral:rRNA from 1 species